rnacentral:miRNA from 1 species
GGGCCUGCUUUCCAAGUUAUGCAGCUAGCAAGAACUCACAGCUUCAUAAGGCAGAAAGCACUAAAUGGGUC